ensembl:lncRNA
AUAUAUAUAUAUAUAUAUUCUGUUAUUUCUUAUAUUCUUCAGGACUAGGAAAUUGACAUACUGCUACACAUGCCACUGUUUUUAUUUAAGGCAGUAUCUUUUUUUUAAUUGUGCCUCUGGCUUUGCCUUUGGAUAUACAGGAUAAAACAGUAGACACUUUACUCUCCUUGAUAGAUGAAUGUUGUGUUCAAUAUGUGGGUGUUAUGGGUAUGUGUGUGUAUAUAAGAGAGUGUGUCUGUAGGAAUUGGGCUACCACUGAAGGCUGAUUGACAGGCUGCAGAAUGCUGGGUCAGGUAGCAUGUGGCGAGUGUGUCCAUGUUUUGCGUGCCUAAACAGAAGCAUGUAUAAGCGUAGCCUCGGCCCUUUCUGACAGCCCAGACACCAUACAGCUGCUUGCUUGAUUGAGACAUCUGCAGCAAGCAGAUGGGCUUCGAGAAGAACAGGGUUUUGAUGUCUAUCACUGACAUUAAAACAGCGAUACACUGCAUUUACACAAUGUGAGGUGAAGACGGAGGCCAGUUACACGUUCGACUGCAGGACGCAGGCUCUGUCUACAACACUUGAGUGCUGUUUUAUUCACAGAACUUCUUCAAAACUUUCAGUUUUGCUCAAGUUGCUGAGGACGGAGCUCAGAAAUGGGUUGCUCAGAGCUCAAAGGAAAAGAUGUUUUUUUAACAGUACACCAUAAUAAAGCCAUGCAGUGCAAUACACAGUGGAGUGCAUGGUGUUUUGUUUGCUGUACUGUCUUCUGAGUUUGCAAGUUGAAAGUGCGAAAGUUAAAGUCUCUUUCUCCUUUUCUCUCUUUCAUUUCUGCGCCUCUCUCUCUCUCUUUCUUUCUGUCUCUCUCUCGCCCCUCCCCAUUUUUCUGUGUCUGCAGUUGGUCUUGGAUCAGUGUGUUGGAGGUACAGCUCUCUUCCAGUCAGCUCUGGAUUUGUGGAUCCCUCGAGAAAGCAACAUAUACUAAAAUGUGCACUUUCACAACUAUUCAUUCUUGCACUCUUAUCAUCUGCUUUAUUUAUUCUCCACACAGUUACGCAAACGCUUUUGCUGUCUGGCUGUGAUUUCUACCGAAUGGCAGCACUUAAACUUUAAAACAUUUAUGAUUAUCCAAAAAAAAAAAAAAAAAAAGACCAUUACAGUGGUCAGCAGUGACCUUUGUAUUUUACACUGUCCCUUUUCCGUUGUUUUUAUCCCAUUUUCAGUCCCCAGUCCAACUUUCCGUCCAUUUCUUUUUUAUGUUCAAACCACGACCAACCACCGCAGAGCCACGUGACGUCCGAGACCUGAGCGAGUCUCGGGUUGCCAUAGCAUUGGGGUUAUUAAGAGAUCCAGUGGCUGCCUGCCUCCCCUUUUAUGAUUCUCUGGCUGAAUAAAAAUUUAAAAGGCCAUUAAACACCAUUACCCCCUCCAGUGUAGGUGUCACUGCGAGCGAUGCUGAGUGAAGUAGCUUAUUUUUCUAUUAGCAGAGCGAGGAGAGCUGGAGAGAGCAUAGGGCCAGGGUAAACGAGUCUUUGCUCUAGUCUGGCCACACGGUCACUCUUUAAUUAGCCUGCCCUUCUCCUCUUUGUCUAAUGGAGCUCUGAGCUCUGACAAGGCUAAGUCUUUCCAAACAAGCUCAUAGCAUACAUUAGUCGCGUUGGCACAGGUAGUGCCUGGAUCUUCCUGAAAUAACUGAAUGGAGCAUUUUUCAGUCCAAUUAAAGUACAUGCAGGACCACUGCACUCUGUACAAUGAAUAUCAUUUCGGUUGAAUGUACCUCACAUACUUCGUCCUUGAAUUUUCGUUUAGAAAAGUUAGCUGAAUCUCUUCCUCCUCCUCCUCCUCCUCCGCCUCCUCUUCCUCCUCCUCAUCAUCCUCACACUUACAGCCCCAAACAGGACGAGUGGUGUGUGGAAAAGGGGAACAGAGGGGCUGGGUUGGAAAGACUCUCUCUCGGGCAGAUGGUGAGAAGACAGGGGAGCAGUCACCCCACUGUUCAGCCAGCAGAGACACACACUCACAGUGGCACACACAUGCACACACACACAUUUUCUGAACAGCUAUCUGCUAUAAUCUUUCAUUCAAUAAAACGGCACUGUGGCACGACCUUUAUUCUGCUUAAUGUUUGCAGCAUGUAUGCACUCUUGUACCACUUGCCUUCUUGCCUUUUCUGAAUCUGUCCUGUGUUUUUAAAACACUUCUGCUUGCCACUUUAGGCUCCAGCUUUUCUCCUCCCUUUCUUUCUCCAGCUCCCUUUAAGAGCCCUUUAAGGAUGAUUACUCUCCAACUGAAGGUCAGGUUUUUAUGUUAAUCUCGACCGCUUUAGUGUUGUCAGGAACACCGAAGCGAGUUAUACAUCUCACCGAGACCAAAGUCCUUUAAAGCUCACAAAAGUAGAGAAUAGUGGCUGAAUAUACAGUAGCAUUUCGCUCUGGUAUUUAUUUUUUUCUUCAUGAGUGGCAUUAUCAGGUGGCUUGUCUUUGUUUUUUUUUUUGUUGUUUUUUUGUUUUUUUUCCCCCCUGUUGUUAAGCUCAUACGUUUGACUGUGUUCCAUGUAACCCCUUGCGAUGUGUGACACUCACCAGCCGCUCCCAUAUGGCGAGGAAAGAAAGAGGCUUUGUCACAUACCAGGUUGUGGUGUUUUUUUUUUUUUUUUUCUCUUACAGCAUUGCAAACAGGCUCAAACGCAGUGAGAGGUUGGCUAAUUACAACAGGCCUUCCUUUAAUUAUUCUCCCAAAGCAGAAAGAAGGAGGGAGCGCUGUGCUCUCCCCCUUGCCCACACUCUCAUCUGCAGCGGACAACAGACAACUUCGGGCUGGGACAUGCAUUCUGUUUAACACGUGUCAUGCUUUCAUCCAGAGGUUGUCAAGCACGCCUCUUAUGAAAAUUCAUUAGGAUGUUGCUAAAUUGGCCGUAGACUUGCGGUCUCUUAAUUAGGGACUGCUGCGAAACUUUUUGUAACAUCAACUUUGGAUUUUUCGAGUCCAUUUUCCGUUUUCCUCCGAGUUUAAGAGUCUUAAUAGUCUGUUUAGUAUGGGAUGUGAAAUUUGGUGCAUCUGGGUAAAAAUGGUGUACGCUUUCAGGUUAAACUACAGAUGGCACACUAAGGCACUGGCUGUUAAUAAUGAAGGAUGUUUGGCAUUAUUUGUGUCUGCAUGUAAAGUGUUUUGUAAAAAGUAGGCGAGUUUGCUAGCCUGGUAGAUUUAUGUAUCCCACAGGGAUUGCUGGCCCACUAAGAUGCUGCCGUUGCUCUACAUAAUUAUAAUGAGAAGGUACUUGUAAACUCAUUAAUAUGUGUUUGAGUCGAAAAUGUUUCGUCACAUAAAUUCUGUGACUGAUGCACAUUCAUUAACAGGUAAGUCAUUUAUAAGGACGGACAUUGGAAAAAAGUUGAAAAAAAGUUGAAAUGAAAAAAAAAAAUUGUUAGGUUUCUGGAAUGAGUAAUAAUGACGUCUUUUAAGCCACGACCUGGGGCACACAUGCAUCUGUCCACGCUGUGAUAUUUGAGUAAAUGAGAGGAUGUGGAUGUUUUAUCACAGACAUUCAUGCUACAUUUAUCUGAUAAGGAUAACACUUCUCUCUGCAUUAGGGAAAUAUGACUUGUUGGCAGAGUGUGUGUGGGGGUUGGGGGUGGGGAGGUGAAUCCGGCUGAUGACAUUAAAAUCAGGCUGCAUUAACAUUUGUUGUGAGAGGUUUUCUGGGGAUUAAGCUGGGCUGGCCUGAACGACGUUGGCCAUUCAUUAACCUUGGCUCCAGAACGCUAGCUUUAAUACAAUAAAGAUGCUUAAUCUGGCUGGGUAACACAGCUGAGGCAAUGUAGUACAGUGUGAUAUUGCUUUGAGUUCUCUCACACCGUUUCACUAAUUAAGCCUGGAGUGCAACAUCAGGUCUUCCUAUGCGCUAUAAUCAUUUUAAAUUUCUUUUUGAUUGAUUUGUGUUGGCCUUAACUAUGCUUUGUGAGAGAUCAAUAAAUAAAGAUCAAUACUUCAAUGUUUUCUUCAGACCCUAUAUUAAAAAAUAGAUUGCUUAUAAAGAGGGCUAAAUUACUGAUAGUAGCGCCUGCACUGAAUGCAUGUCAACUGGAAUUUAAUUGGACAACACUGAGCCGUUUGGGAUUAGUUGAAGGAGUGCUGGCACAGAGCAGAGAGACAGAGAGAGGGAUAGAGAGAAUAAAGAGAAAUCCUAUCAUAGUGGAAUUAAAGUUAUACCAAUGACCACUGAGCAUGACACCAUGUCCACCACCCAGUAACUAAUAUAUUCCAUAUAUUUGCUAUAACUUACACUGUUAAUAUAAUUUUUUUAUUAUAGUAUACUUUACUAUUCUAUUCUAGUCUAUACCAUAACUAUACUAUACUAUACCAUACUGUGCUGUACUUUUCUAUUUGAUAUCAUACUAUGCUAUACUACACUAUACUGUACUACACUAUACUAUACUAUUCUAUUCUAUACCAUAACUAUAGUAUACUGUACUGUGCUGCACUACACUAUACCAUAUUAUACUACACCAUACUAUACUAUAUCAUACUAUGUUAUACUACACACUAUACUGUACUACACUAUACUAUUCUAUACUAUACCAUAACUAUACUAUACUAUUCUAUUCUAUUCCAUAACUAUAUUAUACUGUUCUAUGUUGUACUAUUCUAUACUAUAUCAUACUAUGCUAUACUACACACUAUACUGUACUAUACUAUACUAUUAUAUUCUAUAUCAUACUAUACUAUUCUAUACUAUACUGUACUGUAUUACUGUAUUCUAUCUAACCCCUACACUGCACUAUAUUACACUAUACUACACACUACACUAUACCAGUCUAUUCUAUACCAUACUACACUAUACUACAUUAGUCCAUAUUGAUAUAAUGAGUAAUAUCAUUGCAUACUGUGAAUGAUAGAUUUUAUUUCUCUGAGUUGCAGUUCACCAUUCGUAAAAUGUCAAAACAUUAAAGCCUUCAAAAGUUCAGAAAAAGACUUUGAUUUUGCUGUUUGGACGAACGUUUCUGGUCCUCUGUGUGAGUGAACCCCUGGAAAGGUUUCUGUGAAGCCUCAGUGGGCCGGAACUCAAGUUUGGCUACGUAGAGAAGUUGCAGUACAGCAUGUAGCUGCAGAUCAUAAUUGUAGCCCAUAUCUACAGAGCACUGAAGCGUCUCUUUAUGUCUCUCUUCCCCUCUUCUUCAUCCUGAGCAUGCAGGAUUGGGUUGUAUCAUGUGCUUCUGGUGGCCUUCAGAGAAGGUACUCACACCACAACUACUUGUGAACAAUUAAUUUAAAGUGAUACAUCAGGGAAGAAAUGGAGGCCUAUUAAGGCAUUGACUGAUGUUGCAAAACUCAAUGCUGUUUGCACUGGAUGUUUAAUAAUUGUUGAAAACAUUUCACAAGAAAGAGUAAUGUCAUUUAUUAUUCAUCAUACGUUUGCUAUCUAACAAUCAGGAUGCUACCCAGGAAGGAGCAAUAACAUAACAAUCAGGACAGCGUAUUGAUACAAUACCAUGGUUUUAGACAAGGCGUAGAAUAGAGUGGAAUGGACAUGCAGGUAGAACAGAUUUACCCAGGUGACAUAUUAAAAUGUUUUAGGAGCCAUGUUCUAGGUGCACAACAUAUGCUAUCGGGCCAGCACUACAGAUUUUGAGUAUUAUGUAGUGCCAACAUCGAUUUUUAUCUUUUUUUGCCUACCCAUGAUUAGCAGUAUAGAUGAUUCUCUGCACCUCUAUUCUUUUCUCUCCUCUUCUUUCUCCUCUCCUGCAGCUGGCAUGAGAGAGGAAAGGGACAGCUGUGGGCUAAGUCCAGCCUGAGCCUGCAGGGAACGGGGGGUUAACACAACAGAGGCUCUAGUCCCUGGGCUUCCUUUAAUAGCCCCAGUUUGACCCUGGCACCACACACGCAGCCUCUAUUGCCAGUCUAUGAUUAAUGACCUGGUUUUGCUGCACACACAUUCAGAUACACACAGCACAUACACACACGUACAUGCACUACUAUAUUACUAUGGAGCUUAUGAUACCUAUGCUGCACUGGGGCUUCAGUGUGUGUAGGUGUGUCUGUGUGGAUGUAUGUACGUGUAUCAUUUCCCAGCCUCACCUUUCUUGAUUUAUUAGUCACAGUGUGUGUGUGUGUGUGUGUGUGUGUGGACAGUUUGAGAAAAAGGUUGAGAUAGCCAUCUGAAGUGGAUUGAUUUCCUCCAUAGAAUGUGCUUAUCAGUUCCACAGUCAAUAAACAAAUGAGCUCUGAAGAUGUGCAUGCAUUUGUAUAUGCACAUUUGUGUGUAUGUGUAUGCGUUCAUGUGUGUGUGUGAUCCUUAAAUCUCCAGAAUGUAGUAGUAGGUUAAAUCUAGUGGCCAAAGAUAGACACUCAGGAUUAACAUGCUCUUAUUAGUAUGUGAAUGAAGUGAACACACUGUACUGCACAUCACCUCUUGUGCUGAAUCUGAUGUACUUUAUAUCAGAGUUCAAAUAAAACUAUUACGAUGCCACAAUCUGUUUAUGCUACGUGCUAAGGAUUUAUUGUACACUUAUAAGUUAUCUAUGCAUUUUUUUAAUGUUUAUUUAUUUUAGUCUCAUAUAUUUUAUUGAAUGGCCUACCCGUUCAAAUAUAGUCCAAAAAUAAUUUGUUGUCGACACUAUGUGCUAUUAAAGAUUUAAUCUGUAACAAAGUGUGGUGUUUCUUGUGUCCACUUCCUGUUAUGAUGAGGUCACAAGAGCAGUGGAGACCAAUUUUUCACACUUGAGAGCAGUUAUACAUUUUCAUUAGUAUUAUUAUUAUUAUUUUCCAUUUUUUCUAAGUCCGCCAUGUUUUAACUGUGUGCAGGCUGCCAUGUUACAUCAACGCAGAGCCAACUGGCCAGCCGUGAUCGUCAUUAUCAGCUUUUCUCUAGUGCAUCUGGAACUCUGUGCUGUCCUUUUUCUCUCCUGCCCAAAGCUCUUGUCCAAGAAAUCCUUCUCUUGGUUUCAAGGCCAAACCAUGGGAAAGCAACAUUGCACAUCAUUAGGUCUACUAUAAUUGUCGCUAAAGGUUAGGAAACCUGCACAUUAUCUUGAUACAUGAGCUACAUGAGAGUUUCCUCAAUGCAUCUGUCUACAUUGGGCAUGAUUUCUUAGAUGGAGAGUGCUGGUCAAAUAUAAGCGAGUGUGUGGAACACAUUCUGUCCAUUCUUGGUCACUUUGGGAGGUUAAGCUAGCAUAAAUGUUGGGAAGUGCAACAGGUCAGCUUUAGUGCAUUUUGUUGUAAUUGGGUCCCAGUUGCGUUGUCAGAAAUCAAUUCACGUUAGGAGCCGGCUAGCAUAGGGAGGUCAAGGCUUCUGCAGCCUAAAUAUUUUAUUUGUACUACACGUCUUGAGCUUUUAAAGUUGGUGCUGUCCUGUUUUUUUCCCCCCAUUUCCCUGACGCACGGAUGCUAUUGGCCAAACCUUUUUACCCAGGUCAGGGCUGGGCUAAAAUCAAUUUGAAUCAAUUAUUAAGCAUUGUGUUUCUAGCGAGAGUUUGCCAAGGUGGUCUACGUCUGCUGCUGGUAGCACCUUAUUGGCCAGCUCAAAUAUGGUUCUCAGAGACAAUAUCCCUGCUAGACAGCACUCCUUCGGAGA